rnacentral:rRNA from 1 species
UGAAGUCGGAAUUGCUAGUAAUCGCAGAUCAGCAUGCUGCGGUGAAUACGUUCCCGGGCCUUGUACACACCGCCCGUCACACCAUGGGAGUCCGGUAACACCCGAAGUCGGUAGCCUAACCGUAAGGAGGGCGCCGCCGAAGGUGGGAUUGAUGACUGGGGUGAAGUCGUAACAAGGUACC